UACGGGGGGGGCAAGCGUUGUUCGGAAUUACUGGGCGUAAAGGGCUCGUAGGCGGCCAACUAAGUCAGACGUGAAAUCCCUCGGCUUAACCGGGGAACUGCAUCUGAUACUGGAUGGCUUGAGUUCGGGAGAGGGAUGCGGAAUUCCAGGUGUAGCGGUGAAAUGCGUAGAUAUCGUUUGGAACGCCAAAGGUGAAAACAGGUUGCUGGGGACAUGCUGACGCUGAGACACGAAAGCCAGGGGAGCGAACGGG
rnacentral:rRNA from 1 species